rnacentral:lncRNA from 1 species
UGUGCAGGCACUUUUACAUAGCUGGCAGCUGCUGAUUUGUGGAUACCCCAGGGACAGCAGUAACAAGGAAGAGUGAAAAAAGCAGGAAAAAAAUGUGGAAAAGAGUCCUGGACAAUUAUCCACAACCUGCCUGGUGAGGCUCGGCAGCAGCUCCAGUGUCAAGGGCAGCUGAGAAUGGAUGUGACCUGGCGUGGUUAUUACAGCUGGAAUUCAUUUUGCCUAACCUUAGACAUUUUCUGCCCUCAAAGUACAGCCUGUGUCUGAAUCAAUCACCCUCAGACCUCUUUCCAGUACAUAAGCCACUUUAUGGAGAGCAUUGUGGAUCCUUUUCAUGGCUACCGGAGACAAGAGAGCAAAGUUCAAGGUUACAUUGCAUCAGAGGAGGAGCCCACAAGGAAGGAAGGACCAGUGAAGGAUGGGGG